rnacentral:rRNA from 1 species
GACGAACGCUGGCGGCGUGCUUAACACAUGCAAGUCGAACGAUGAAGCCGGAGCUUGCUCCGGUGGAUUAGUGGCGAACGGGUGAGUAACACGUGAGCAAUCUGCCCUUGACUCUGGGAUAACUGCGGGAAACUGUGGCUAAUACCGGAUACGACACCUUGGGGCAUCCCAGGGUGUGGAAAGAAUUUCGGUCAAGGAUGAGCUCGCGGCCUAUCAGCUAGUUGGUGAGGUAAUGGCUCACCAAGGCGACGACGGGUAGCCGGCCUGAGAGGGUGACCGGUCACACUGGAACUGAGACACGGUCCAGACUCCUACGGGAGGCAGCAGUGGGGAAUAUUGCACAAUGGGCGAAAGCCUGAUGCAGCAACGCCGCGUGAGGGAUGAAGGCCUUCGGGUUGUGAACCUCUUUUAGCAGGGAAGAAGCGAAAGUGACGGUGCCUGCAGAAAAAGCACCGGCUAACUACGUGCCAGCCGCCGCCGUAA